GGCAGUGGAAAAUGGUUUGGAGGAUGUUUGGAUGGGGGUGGUCAUUAAGGAGAUCAUAGAUACACUUCUCACGCGUGAUGGAGGCGACAGAUUCUGCGGACUGCUCGAUCUGCUCUUCGGUACGGGGGAUGUUUGCUUUGUAGAUGAUGGGCGCCUUCAAUGCAAUGCGUUCUCCAAUAGCAAAUACAAUGCUCACAGACCCUGAGCCAAGAAUGUCGGCUCUGGUGAGCCUGAAGGGAAGUUUGUGACCAUUUAACACCAUUGUGCGUGGUAACUGGUGAUGGAAUUUUAUGAGGAUGAUAUGAUGAGCUUGGGAGCGAGAUGUAUAUCAAUUUGGAGAAUAGUCAAAUUCAAGAGAAGCUAUCAAUAUUGACCUCAAAGAGAUGCAGAUAGAGUGAAAUGUAAACUUGGUGUUCUGUGUUUCAUGAGAAAAUGAAUAUUAAGGGA
rnacentral:sRNA from 2 species